rnacentral:misc_RNA from 1 species
AAGUCGUAACAAGGUAACCGUAGGUGAACCUGCGGUUGGAUCAUUACAGAAAAUGUUUUAACAAACAUACACAUUGUGCACUGUUUUUGUCUCUGGCGGCGGGGCAGCUAUUGGCUUUACACCCAUAGUUGUCUGUCAGUCUUGGUGUAACAGCCAUGGCCGUGGACAAACCGCCAAUGUCAAACCACUUAUAUUUUUUAAACUGUCUAAUAUUGAAGUUAUUCGUAUAUAAUUAUACAAACAACUUUUGGCAACGGAUCUCUUGGCUCUC